UACGAAGGGUGCAAGCGUUACUCGGAAUUACUGGGCGUAAAGCGUGCGUAGGUGGUGAGUUAAGUCUGAUGUGAAAUCCCCGGGCUCAACCUGGGAAUGGCAUUGGAUACUGGCUCGCUAGAGUGCGGUAGAGGGUGGUGGAAUUCCCGGUGUAGCAGUGAAAUGCGUAGAUAUUGGGAAGAACACCGGUGGCGAAGGCGGCUCACUGGCUCAUUUCUGACGCUCAGGCGCGACAGCGUGGGGAUCAAACAGG
rnacentral:rRNA from 1 species